rnacentral:lncRNA from 1 species
ACCUUUUUACAAUCAAUUAAAGACACUAUAAUGUAUAAAAUACUUUGGAAUAUUUGUAAAAUGGAAAAUAGAUUACCCUUUCUUAGUCGUGGUGAGGAGGUGGAGGAGACUUGUACUUGUAAACUGGAGGUGGUGGGGACUUGUACUUGUAAACUGGAGGUGGUGGGGACUUGUACUUGUAAACUGGAGGCAACAAGAAAUUCUAAUAUUCAUCCAAUUAAUAAUUUGAUGGCUGUCUGUGUAAUUUUCAAUUUUAAUUAUUCCUUGAUUGGGAUCCGUUGACUCCAAAGACGUAGCACUGUACUAGAUCUUGAUAUUGUCCUAGUCAUGAUUUUAUUUUAUUUUUUAAUUAUUUUUCCUUUCACCUCUCUCCUUCACACACGUGGAUUUUGAUUUUGACUACGAAAUUUAUUAGUUUUGAGUUUUUGACACUCGAAAACGAUAUUAUAUUAAACAAAAUAACUAAAGGCAUGAUGAAGAAAAGUAAUAUAAGCAAAGAAAUAAUAUGAUUUGUUUAAAUAUUUCGGGGUAGGUGGUGGUGGUGGAGACUUGUACACAUAAGGCUUUUUUGGGGGUGGUGGUGGAGACUUGUAGACAUAGGGUUUCUUCGGUGGAGGUGGUGACUUGUACUCGGGAGGUGGUGGAGACUUAUAUACUGGAGGCGGUGGUGGUGGAGACUUGUAGAUAUAAGGCUUCUUUGGUGGUGGUGGUGGAGACUUGUAUUCAUAAGGCUUCUUUGGGGGUGGUGGUGGAGACUUGUAGACAUAAGGCUUCUUUGGGGGUGGUGGUGGAGACUUGUAGACAUAAGGCUUCUUUGGUGGUGGUGGUGGAGACUUGUAUUCAUAAGGCUUCUUUGGGGGUGGUGGUGGAGAUUUGUAGACAUAGGGUUUCUUCGGUGGAGGUGGUGACUUGUAGACCGGAGGCGGUGAAGACUUGUAUACUGGUGGUGGUGGAGAUUUGUAAAUAUAAGGUUUAUCGUCAUCUGCAUUGGUUACAAAAGGCAAGGAUAGAGCCACUAUUGCCACCAUUAGAGUGGCAAUAAGAGAAGCCAUUGUAGACAUCUUUAGUUUUAGUUUUGAUUGUGCUAAGAACCCUUACAUGCAUCCCUUUAUAUAUAGAUUAGGAUUUACCAUUUUCAACUCAUUAAUAAUUGAUUAAUUACGGUUAAAAAAGAUAAAAUGACUAAACCCAUAACUUAAUCGCUAGAUCUUGUCGGUAAUUAGUGGCUGAAAGCUAAGCAAACGAAAUAAAAUAGGUUAUAUGACUAUUCUUUGUCCAUUUGAUGCAAUAAUUCAAUGAAAAAGUCUUCCAAUUGCAAGACUUUCUUUUCUUUUUUUUUUUGUGUAUAUUAAUAUGUAUUUAUAUUUCUAAAUAGUAUGAGAAAUUUGAAAUUUUGUUGCCUAACUUUGGAUAAUGAUUGGUACAUGGUUAACGAUUCAUAUUUUGCAACCCUUUUUCUUUUCAAACGGAGCACACAGUUUUUUCCUUUUUAAGCAUAAAUUCAUUAAAAUCUACGUCGAAUUUUUACGCCACCAUAUAUAUAUAUAUAUAUAUGUAUUGCCGGGCUCUCUGUUUUCAAUUUGCCUUAAUGCAUCGUGUAUUGUAUUUGUAAGAAUCAUUGGCAAAGUCGUAAUCGCUAGAGGAAGGGGAUUUAGGCCAUCUCCAACCAUUGCACCAAAUUGCACCAAAAUUUGGUGCAAACUUCCUCCAACCAUUGCACCAUUGCACCAAAUUUUUAUUAUUUUAGUUAGUUAGGAGGCUAAUAUAAACAUUGUAAAAAGUGGUCAAGUUGUAGUACGAUUCCAAUAUUCUAGAAAGAUUGGUUAUAUUCACACCAUAUAUAUAUAUUUUUUUGAUAAAUACACCAUAUAUUAAUCAAAUUACAGUUUAUUAUCACAAUUAUAUCCUUAAACCUUUCUUCAGCACACUUUUAUUUUUAACAUUUCAUUAAUUAGAAUAUUUUGUCCUUAAUCAUCAUUUCUCAUUUCCGUCCAAAAAUAUUAUUAACAUUCUUUAAAAUAAGAAUCAAAUAUUUAAUCGCACUUUUGUAGUAUUAUUUAUUUUGCUUAUUCAACAAUACCAUGGGCAAAUGAGUCUUUUGACUCUAUCUCAAGGAAAAAUUUGGAGAGAACCCAUAAUAAAAAAUAAUUUAUGUAUUUGAGAAGAAAAAUGCGAUGAAAAAAAUUUUGAGACAUAAAUGUAAUAAUGUGUAAAAUUAAGUUAUGAAUAUUUUAUGCAAUUAAAAUGUAGUCUAGUUAUUAAAAUUUGUGGUGUGAAUAUGUUAAGCCAUUCUAGAAUUGUGUCCAACACAUUAUUUGAAAAUUAUGUUUAAAUGCUUGUUUGGAAUAGUAUGAAAAGUUGCCAGAAAGUUGAGAUCAAAAUCAACAAUUAAUUUUAAUCAUACGUUAAAUGAUCCAAAUUUUUAUUUAACUUUUCAAUCACAUAUAUUGUCAACUUCUAUCUAAAUCUACUAAAAUUUUUAUCAAAAAAUUUUGUUAAAUAACCCUAAACUUUGACAAGUGCAAGUUUAGUUUGGAUUAACAUGGUGAAGAUCGCCACAAGAAACUACGAACCUAAGGAUAAGAGACGUAAGGAAUAUCAAUAAGUACGAAAAUUGUAUAUUAACCUAUAUAUAAUCUCAAUGAUUGUGACAACAUGCGAUGACAUGGGAAUCUAGAUAUUCUAGUGAUCAAUUCGUAAGUUGUAAAUUGACUCAUGUAUGUACAAGUUUAUUUAUUAUUCAAAUUUCAAAUAUGGUGCAACACUAUUCAUGUUGCACCAUUUUGCACCAAAUGGUGCAAUGUCCAUUUUACCUUUAUUUUUCUUUUUUCAAAGUUAAGGGUUAAGGGCAUUUGUGUCAUUUUCGUUCUAUAAUAAUAAUGAUAAUGAUAAUGAUGAGAAUAAUAAUAAUUACUUAAUUAAUUAUACUCUUAAUUAUAUUAUUAAAAUUUAUUAUUUUUAAUAAUAUAAUCAAUAAUAAUUAACGUAAUUGUUAAUUUAACGUACAGUUAAAUUCGUAAGGUUUACGUUUAAAAUUUAAUUUAAUGUAGAGUUUAUAUUAUUAAAGUUCAUUAUUUUUGUAAAUUUAACGUAAUUGUUUAUCAUAAAUUAAUAAUAUAAUCAAUUAUUUUUGUCAAUUUAACAUAAUAUAUAUGACAUGUAAUAAUAUAGUAAUCAAUAUAUUUGUUAAUUUAGUGAAGUUAUGAAUUAGUAAUAUAUAUAGUUAUAAAAUAAAUAAAUAAAUAAAUAAUAUUUUAAAAUAAAUAUAUUGUCAAAAAUCGAAAGAAUGAAUAAAAUAAUAAAGUACUGUUCAUUUGGUGUAAAUUUUGGUGUAAUGGUUGGAGAAGAAUUUUGGUUUGGUGCAAGAUUUAGUGCAAAAUUUGGUGCAAAAUGAUGCAAAAUUUGGUACAGGGUUGGAGAUGACCUUAGGAUUGCAAAAUAUGCUUUUUAAAAAUAAAAAGUCUCUUUGAAAUACUUUAAAAUAUUAAUCACCAGGUCAUCUACCGCUUCCCGAAGUGAGGUCCCACUAUGAUCCGACAAUUCUUGAAGUAGUUAAUAAUUCCUUGCUUAAUGAAAACAUCGUCCCACUUACCCUUUUGUGGAGCUUCCGUCCCUUCUAGAGAAAAGAAUGAUAGUUUUAAAAGUUUUAGCUUAAAAUUUUUAGUUUUUCUAGCGCCCACUUUGUUAAGGGAUAUAAUUCCGCAUCGAAUAAAGAUGAAAAUAUUGACCACUUUAUAAGGGGGUUUGAGCUACUCCUCUUAACGAGGUUUACCUUUUAAGAUGGAACCCUAAAUCUUAACAUGAUAUCAGAGUCCAUUAUAUUUCAACGAGAUCUACUAAAAAAAGAGCCACUAUCUUGCGGGACAUGUUAAGGGAUAUAAUCUCAUAUCGAAUAAAGACGAAAAUAUAGAUCAAUUUAUAAAGAUUUGUGCUACUUCUCUUAACAAGCUUGACAUUUUAAGAUUCAACCUCAAGUCUUAACACAUUUAUCUUCCACUACUAAUAGACUUUUUUUUUUUUUUUUUUAAAUCAAAACGGAAAAGUAGCCCUUACAUUUAACUUGUAAAUUAGAAAAUAGAAUUUAAGUAUAUAUAGUGCAUUAUAUUUUCUAACAAAUGCACUGAUGAUAGAGAGAAUCAAAGAAAUUAGAGUCGAAAUAAUUUUAUAUAAUCGAAUCUAAAAAAUUUAUCAAGAAUAAAUUUUUAUUUAUUUAUUUAUUCUUUCGACCUUUAAUUAAUAUUGACCGAAAAAAAAAAAAAGCAUCUAGUUGAUCCGUCUACGCAAGAUGGUCACAUAAAAUAACGAAUCUUAGUUUCUAAAAUUAGGUGAAGACUUAAUCAAAUUAAUUAAUUAUCAGGAUAAACAUUAAAUUUAUUCAUGAAGAACUGGUCAUCUUAAUUUUUUCAUUCAAAUUUGAUGUAAAGAUGUUUGAAACUGCACACGAUGAGCUUUUCUAAGGAAGAAAUAGUCAUCUUAAUUUGGUAAUAAAUAAUUCAGUAAUAAACAUUUAAGUGAAAAAAACGUCAUUAUAAAAAAUUAAAUAGGAAACCCUCUUUAUUUACCUUUAACUCGUUUUGAAAAUCUUGGUAGAAGUUUUGCUUAUAUUGUAUAUUGUAAGAGAAAAAUAAAGCAAUGUGAACAUCUUAAAAAUUAAUCACAAUGGAAGGAAAAAAAAAUAAUCAUAGUCAAUUAUACGUGGUAUGAUUGAGAGCUAAAAUCCAAUCUAUUUAAAGGGCCCACUUUGGUCAACCUUGUAGACUAAGGGAGCUACUUGAGCCCUAUUUUUUAUUAAAAAAUAAAUUUUGUAAUAGUGAUUUUUUUUUUUUUUUUAGAAUAUUUGAUUAAAAAAAGUAAGGAAAGUUUCAUGUUUAUGUGCAAAAUUAUUUUAUUGAAAGAAUUUAAUUGAAAAUGAGUCUAAGAAAAAAAAAAUUAAAGAACGGAGAUCAAAGAAAGACUAAGCCCCGUUUGGUAAUAAUUUUUCAUCCCAAAAAAUCAAAAUUUUAACCGUUAUUUCACUAUUUCAAUCAUCAUUUUUGACUUCUUUAAUCACAAGGAGGACCUAUUUCCUCUCUAACAGUCAAAAAAUCACUUCUCAUAAUUAUUACCAAACAUACCGUAAAACUGCAAAUUUUGUUUGAUAAUUUACUUUUUUUUUUUUUUUUUUUUUUUUUUUUUUGAUUAGUUAAUUUAAUCACCGACAGAACCAAAUUAUUAGAUUAGCAUAAUAAACAAUAUUAUUAGGUUUUUUUUUUUUUAUAAUAAUUCUUUGUUAACAAUCAAUAUAAUAUCGUGCCAUUGAUAGUCGGUACAACAGUGUUAGCAAGUUGUGCCAAGUUGAAAUUUCAAAUAUAUACUUUUGCAAUGUUUUCUUUACUAUAGAUUAAAUUGAAUUAUUCGCUUAUUUGCUUAGUGAUAUUAUUAGUUUAAUUACUCUUUAAUCACCGACAAACAAAGAUUAUCUUAAUCAUCUAAUCUUAGAUUAACAUAAUAAAAAAAUAUUAGUAGGUAGCACUUUGUUAACACUUGAGAUUUGAGUCGACAAUGUGAACUACUAGCAUCCUAGGUCAUUUACUUAAACAUAUAAUUUUUCUUUUAAUAUGGAAGAUCAAAUCUUAAUAAAGGGCAAUCCCAUAAUAUUUUAUUGUAUUACAUAAAAAUAAAAAGGGUGGUCAUAUUGCCACUGUAUUUUUUAUUUGAUACACCACAUUUUAAUUGCAAUUAAACUCCUCAAUUUUUUACUCAUUUUAUCAUUUAUUUCUUUAACAUUUUUAUUGAAUUUUUAUCUUUAACUUUUCAUUAAUUAAUACAUCUAGUCCUUAAUGAUAAUUUAUAUCAAAAUAUUUUAUUUUUAUGAUUUGAAACGAGGGGAAAAUAUUUUUGACACUUUUAUUUAUUUAUUUUUAAAAAAAUAUGAUAGAAAAUAAGUUAAUCUACGCAAUUUCGAUGAACUGUUGGACAUAAAACUAUUAUUACAUUUUUAUUUAACUUUUCGACCACAUAUAUUGUCAACUUCUUUCUAAAUCUACUAAAAUUUUUUAUCAAAAAAUUUUGUUAAAUAACCCCCUAAACUUUGACAAGUGCAAGUAAAGUUUGGACUAACAUGGUGAGGAUGGCCACAAGAAACUACGAACCUAAGGAUAAGAGAUGUAAGGAAUAUCACUAGUACGAAAAUUGUAUAUUUAGCCUAUAUAUAAUCUCAAUGAUUGUUACAACGUACGAUGAACAUGGGAGUCUAGAUAUUCUAGUGCUCAAUUAGUAAGUUGUAAAUUGACUCAUGUAUUUACAAGUUUAUUUAUUAUUCAAAUUAUUUAAUUUUUUUUAAGAGAAUCGAGUAGAGGACUUUGAUGGUGAAACAACAAUUUUUAACCAAUCACGACAAAAUGAAUUUAUUUAAAUAAUACUAUUAUCACAUCUCUUCAAAUGCUAGACACAUUUUUUUUUUUUUCAUCAAUAGCCUCUUAGUGCAUGCCCAAUUCACUUUUUCAGCAAAUUUAUUUAUCUAAGUUAUGUCUUCAAUAAUCCAUUCGAUUUUAGCUUUAGCCGUGAAAAGGGUUUUGGCUUGAAGAGCCAUUUUUUGUCAAUAAAAUAAAUAGAUUCUGUAUUAAGUAUAUUUUACGUUUUGUAUUUUACUCAAUAUGUCAAUAUCUAAUUCCAAGAAAUUAUUUAUGUAUAUUUAUGUUUUCAAUAUGCCCCAACAUAUCUAUGCUAUGUGAACAUCUUAUAUUUAUCGCGAUAGAUGUUAUUUGAAUUCUUAAAUUUUAUCAAAUUAAGUAUGAUAUUUAAUAAUCUCAUCUACUUAAAGUAAAGAUUUAUUUCAAGACUUCCAUUAAACAAGAACAUGAACAUUCACUUAUUUAUUAUAUAAAUCAUGAAACACUCUGCAUACAACCAUGCAUGGCUUGCUACGUAAAACAUAGGGACGCUAAUCUUAAUAAAAUAAACAAACUGAAGAAAAUUAUGACAACUUCUUCUGCAGUAUAUAUAGCUUAUUCUAUUCUUCUUCCAUCGCUUUCAUUCUUCCUCAAAAAUCAUUUUCAGCAUAUCCAUUUCUUCUUUAUUCUGGAAAUCUUCUCCUUCCUGCAAGAAUGGAUUGGCUUAUAAGAUUAAAACGAGUUGUUAGAAUCAACUAAAUCGAACUCUAAGACUCAAUAUGGUAUCAGAGUCAAAUAAACUCAACAAUACGAUUCCACGAUUGAUAUUUACAAACGAGUCUAGCAUUCUUGAUUUUCAUAUUGUCUGGCAAUUUUUUGUGUUGUCUGUGGUGAAGUUUAUUCCAUUAUUUUAUAUGUUUACCUUUUUACAAUCAAUUAAAGACACUAUAAUGUAUAAAAUACUUUGGAAUAUUUGUAAAAUGGAAAAUAGAUUACCCUUUCUUAGUCGUGGUGAGGAGGUGGAGGAGACUUGUACUUGUAAACUGGAGGUGGUGGGGACUUGUACUUGUAAACCGGAGGUGGUGGUGGUGGGGACUUGUACACAUAGGGUUUCUUCGGGGUAGGUGGUGGUGGUGGAGACUUGUACACAUAAGGCUUUUUUGGGGGUGGUGGUGGAGACUUGUAGACAUAGGGUUUCUUCGGUGGAGGUGGUGACUUGUACUCGGGAGGUGGUGGAGACUUAUAUACUGGAGGCGGUGGUGGUGGAGACUUGUAGAUAUAAG